rnacentral:rRNA from 1 species
CUACGGGAUGCAGCAGUGAGGAAUAUUGCACAAUGGACGAAAGUCUGAUGCAGCAACGCCGCGUGGAGGAUGACACAUUUCGGUGCGUAAACUCCUUUUAUAUAGGAAGAUAAUGACGGUACUAUAUGAAUAAGCACCGGCUAACUCCGUGCCAGCAGCCGCGGUAAUACGGAGGGUGCAAGCGUUACUCGGAAUCACUGGGCGUAAAGAGCGUGUAGGCGGGUUAAUAAGUUGGAAGUGAAAUCCUAUGGCUCAACCAUAGAACUGCUUCCAAAACUGUUAACCUAGAAUAUGGGAGAGGUAGAUGGAAUUUCUGGUGUAGGGGUAAUAUCCGUAGAGAUCAGAAGGAAUACCGAUUGCGAAGGCGAUCUACUGGAACAUUAUUGACGCUGAGACGCGAAAGCGUGGGGAGCAAACAGGAUUAGAUACCCGUGUAGUC